rnacentral:rRNA from 1 species
AUUGAACGCUGGCGGCAUGCUUUACACAUGCAAGUCGAACGGUAACAGGCCGCAAGGUGCUGACGAGUGGCGAACGGGUGAGUAAUGCAUCGGAACGUGCCCAGUCGUGGGGGAUAACGCAGCGAAAGCUGUGCUAAUACCGCAUACGAUCUGUGGAUGAAAGCGGGGGACCUUCGGGCCUCGCGCGAUUGGAGCGGCCGAUGUCAGAUUAGGUAGUUGGUGGGGUAAAGGCUCACCAAGCCGACGAUCUGUAGCUGGUCUGAGAGGACGACCAGCCACACUGGGACUGAGACACGGCCCAGACUCCUACGGGAGGCAGCAGUGGGGAAUUUUGGACAAUGGGCGCAAGCCUGAUCCAGCAAUGCCGCGUGCAGGAAGAAGGCCUUCGGGUUGUAAACUGCUUUUGUACGGAGCGAAAAGGCUCCCUCUAAUACAGGGGGCCCAUGACGGUACCGUAAGAAUAAGCACCGGCUAACUACGUGCCAGCCGCCGCGGUAAUAC